rnacentral:rRNA from 1 species
AUGCAGUCGAACGGCAGCACGGGUGCUUGCACCUGGUGGCGAGUGGCGAACGGGUGAGUAAUACAUCGGAACAUGUCCUGUAGUGGGGGAUAGCCCGGCGAAAGCCGGAUUAAUACCGCAUACGAUCUAUGGAUGAAAGCGGGGGACCUUCGGGCCUCGCGCUAUAGGGUUGGCCGAUGGCUGAUUAGCUAGUUGGUGGGGUAAAGGCCUACCAAGGCGACGAUCAGUAGCUGGUCUGAGAGGACGACCAGCCACACUGGGACUGAGACACGGCCCAGACUCCUACGGGAGGCAGCAGUGGGGAAUUUUGGACAAUGGGCGAAAGCCUGAUCCAGCAAUGCCGCGUGUGUGAAGAAGGCCUUCGGGUUGUAAAGCACUUUUGUCCGGAAAGAAAUCCUUGGCUCUAAUACAGUCGGGGGAUGACGGUACCGGAAGAAUAAGCACCGGCUAACUACGUGCCAGCAGCCGCGGUAAUACGUAGGGUGCAAGCGUUAAUCGGAAUUACUGGGCGUAAAGCGUGCGCAGGCGGUUUGCUAAGACCGAUGUGAAAUCCCCGGGCUCAACCUGGGAACUGCAUUGGUGACUGGCAGGCUAGAGUAUGGCAGAGGGGGGUAGAAUUCC